GCUGGCUAAAGGGUAUUAAUCAUGUUUUCAUGCACCCAUUGGGACAUUUGCUCCCUCUCUUGAAAACUGUCUAUUCAGCUCAGUUCAGACCCUACUUCCGAUUUCAGUUUGUUCCCUAAAAGCUGCAGCAUCCUACUAGAAAUAUCUUGGCUUCCUCUGUUUCUUCGGGUCCUUGAACUAAGAGGGGGAAAAAGAAGAAAGAGGAUGAAUCACUUUAUUUGCUUUGUUUAAUCUUUCAGAUUCCCUCAGGCUCCACACUUAAAGGGCAGCAAACAGGAGAAGAAAAAUAAGAUGAGGGAAGGAUGGUGAUUGGCCCCAGGACUGUCUCCUCGGCUUUAGAGUUAAGAAGAUCCCUCAAUCAGCCUGGAUCUAUAGCUAGGACUGAAGAGAAACUGGAAGAGAGAAUUCUGUGUGAGACACAGACACUAAGACAAAUGAUUUCUGCAUAUAAGGACAAUCGGGGACCAAGGAAAUGUGAUCUAGUGGAGAGGAACAGACCAUUUGUACUCAAGAUGGAGUUAUUCCAAGGCUAUACAGGCUUCCUGAGACACCUCAGAACAUGGAGGUUUCUUUCUUCAGAGUUAAUGUGGUACAUUUGUAAUAAACACUUGCUGGACUGAAGGA